CUGAAGUCAGGUUACAUCUCCGCGCCUGGCAUCACAACAGGAACCGUACUGCUCAGAACUAGCUGUAGCACAGCUCAUUGCACUUUCUAAUGCGACUAGACACCAGAGAUGAAGCUUCUUAGAAAUCAUGAUAGAGUGAAAAUAAUUGAGUGUUUUAUCAGGACUGAUUACAUAAAGUUCCAUGUCUUUAGUUUCCAACUGAAGCUGUAUGACCUGGUUAUUGU